rnacentral:rRNA from 1 species
GGUUAAGCGACUAAGCGUACACGGUGGAUGCCCUGGCAGUCAGAGGCGAUGAAGGACGUGCUAAUCUGCGAUAAGCGUCGGUGAGGUGAUAUGAACCGUUAUAACCGGCGAUUUCCGAAUGGGGAAACCCAGUGUGUUUCGACACACUAUCAUUAACUGAAUCCAUAGGUUAAUGAGGCGAACCGGGGGAACUGAAACAUCUAAGUACCCCGAGGAAAAGAAAUCAACCGAGAUUCCCCCAGUAGCGGCGAGCGAACGGGGAGGAGCCCAGAGCCUGAAUCAGUGUGUGUGUUAGUGGAAGCGUCUGGAAAGGCGCGCGAUACAGGGUGACAGCCCCGUACACAAAAAUGCACAUGCUGUGAGCUCGAUGAGUAGGGCGGGACACGUGGUAUCCUGUCUGAAUAUGGGGGGACCAUCCUCCAAGGCUAAAUACUCCUGACUGACCGAUAGUGAACCAGUACCGUGAGGGAAAGGCGAAAAGAACCCCGGCGAGGGGAGUGAAAAAGAACCUGAAACCGUGUACGUACAAGCAGUGGGAGCCUCUUAAUGGGGUGACUGCGUACCUUUUGUAUAAUGGGUCAGCGACUUAUAUUCUGUAGCAAGGUUAACCGAAUAGGGGAGCCGAAGGGAAACCGAGUCUUAACUGGGCGUUAAGUUGCAGGGUAUAGACCCGAAACCCGGUGAUCUAGCCAUGGGCAGGUUGAAGGUUGGGUAACACUAACUGGAGGACCGAACCGACUAAUGUUGAAAAAUUAGCGGAUGACUUGUGGCUGGGGGUGAAAGGCCAAUCAAACCGGGAGAUAGCUGGUUCUCCCCGAAAGCUAUUUAGGUAGCGCCUCGUGAAUUCAUCUCCGGGGGUAGAGCACUGUUUCGGCAAGGGGGUCAUCCCGACUUACCAACCCGAUGCAAACUGCGAAUACCGGAGAAUGUUAUCACGGGAGACACACGGCGGGUGCUAACGUCCGUCGUGAAGAGGGAAACAACCCAGACCGCCAGCUAAGGUCCCAAAGUCAUGGUUAAGUGGGAAACGAUGUGGGAAGGCCCAGACAGCCAGGAUGUUGGCUUAGAAGCAGCCAUCAUUUAAAGAAAGCGUAAUAGCUCACUGGUCGAGUCGGCCUGCGCGGAAGAUGUAACGGGGCUAAACCAUGCACCGAAGCUGCGGCAGCGACACUAUGUGUUGUUGGGUAGGGGAGCGUUCUGUAAGCCUGUGAAGGUGUGCUGUGAGGCAUGCUGGAGGUAUCAGAAGUGCGAAUGCUGACAUAAGUAACGAUAAAGCGGGUGAAAAGCCCGCUCGCCGGAAGACCAAGGGUUCCUGUCCAACGUUAAUCGGGGCAGGGUGAGUCGACCCCUAAGGCGAGGCCGAAAGGCGUAGUCGAUGGGAAACAGGUUAAUAUUCCUGUACUUGGUGUUACUGCGAAGGGGGGACGGAGAAGGCUAUGUUGGCCGGGCGACGGUUGUCCCGGUUUAAGCGUGUAGGCUGGUUUUCCAGGCAAAUCCGGAAAACCAAGGCUGAGGCGUGAUGACGAGGCACUACGGUGCUGAAGCGACAAAUGCCCUGCUUCCAGGAAAAGCCUCUAAGCAUCAGGUAACAUCAAAUCGUACCCCAAACCGACACAGGUGGUCAGGUAGAGAAUACCAAGGCGCUUGAGAGAACUCGGGUGAAGGAACUAGGCAAAAUGGUGCCGUAACUUCGGGAGAAGGCACGCUGAUAUGUAGGUGAAGCGACUUGCUCGUGGAGCUGAAAUCAGUCGAAGAUACCAGCUGGCUGCAACUGUUUAUUAAAAACACAGCACUGUGCAAACACGAAAGUGGACGUAUACGGUGUGACGCCUGCCCGGUGCCGGAAGGUUAAUUGAUGGGGUUAGCGGUAACGCGAAGCUCUUGAUCGAAGCCCCGGUAAACGGCGGCCGUAACUAUAACGGUCCUAAGGUAGCGAAAUUCCUUGUCGGGUAAGUUCCGACCUGCACGAAUGGCGUAAUGAUGGCCAGGCUGUCUCCACCCGAGACUCAGUGAAAUUGAACUCGCUGUGAAGAUGCAGUGUACCCGCGGCAAGACGGAAAGACCCCGUGAACCUUUACUAUAGCUUGACACUGAACAUUGAGCCUUGAUGUGUAGGAUAGGUGGGAGGCUUUGAAGUGUGGACGCCAGUCUGCAUGGAGCCGACCUUGAAAUACCACCCUUUAAUGUUUGAUGUUCUAACGUUGGCCCGUAAUCCGGGUUGCGGACAGUGUCUGGUGGGUAGUUUGACUGGGGCGGUCUCCUCCUAAAGAGUAACGGAGGAGCACGAAGGUUGGCUAAUCCUGGUCGGACAUCAGGAGGUUAGUGCAAUGGCAUAAGCCAGCUUGACUGCGAGCGUGACGGCGCGAGCAGGUGCGAAAGCAGGUCAUAGUGAUCCGGUGGUUCUGAAUGGAAGGGCCAUCGCUCAACGGAUAAAAGGUACUCCGGGGAUAACAGGCUGAUACCGCCCAAGAGUUCAUAUCGACGGCGGUGUUUGGCACCUCGAUGUCGGCUCAUCACAUCCUGGGGCUGAAGUAGGUCCCAAGGGUAUGGCUGUUCGCCAUUUAAAGUGGUACGCGAGCUGGGUUUAGAACGUCGUGAGACAGUUCGGUCCCUAUCUGCCGUGGGCGCUGGAGAACUGAGGGGGGCUGCUCCUAGUACGAGAGGACCGGAGUGGACGCAUCACUGGUGUUCGGGUUGUCAUGCCAAUGGCACUGCCCGGUAGCUAAAUGCGGAAGAGAUAAGUGCUGAAAGCAUCUAAGCACGAAACUUGCCCCGAGAUG